rnacentral:rRNA from 1 species
UACGAAGGGGGCUAGCGUUGCUCGGAAUCACUGGGCGUAAAGGGUGCGUAGGCGGGUCUUUAAGUCAGGGGUGAAAUCCUGGAGCUCAACUCCAGAACUGCCUUUGAUACUGAAGAUCUUGAGUUCGGGAGAGGUGAGUGGAACUGCGAGUGUAGAGGUGAAAUUCGUAGAUAUUCGCAAGAACACCAGUGGCGAAGGCGGCUCACUGGCCCGGUACUGGCGCUGAGGCACGAAAGCGUGGGGAGCAAACAGG